rnacentral:rRNA from 1 species
GUACACACCGCCCGUCAAGUCAUGGGAGCUGAGGGUGCCCGAAGUCGUUUGCCCAACCGUAAGGGGGGCGGCGCCGAAGGCAAACUCGGUGACUGGGACUAAGUCGUAACAAGGUWKCYGUAGGUGAACCUGCAGAAGGAUCA